rnacentral:tRNA from 1 species
GCCCCUGUAGUUUAACCUGGAUAGAACGCGGCCCUGCGGAGGCUGAGACCCGAGUUCAAAUCUCGGCAGGGGCG